CACGGGGGGGAGCAAGCGUUGUUCGGAAUCACUGGGCGUAAAGGGCGUGUAGGCGGUCAAGUAAGUGGAAUGUGAAAGCCCCCCGGCUUACCCGGGGGAUCGGGCAUCCCCAAAACUGCUUGGCUUUGAGUACGGGGAGAGGAUGAGGGAAUUCCUGGUGUAGCGGUGAAAUGCGUAGAUAUCAGGAGGAACACCGGUGGCGAAGGCGGGUCUCUGGGCCGAUACUGACGUGAGGAGCGAAAGCGUGGGGAGCGAACAGG
rnacentral:rRNA from 1 species